rnacentral:snoRNA from 1 species
GAUUCAAACUUAAACAUCCAUUCUGAGGCGUCGCUCAGGUCCUUUGCCCUUUGCUUGAUUGCCUCAGCUGCGUUGAUUCGCGGUUCGGUGGAUGUGAGAUCAACUGUGGAAAGUGUAUCUCCGUCUGAUGAGCAAAGCGUUGAAUCUCUCGGUCAUGAACUUUCGUACAUCC